rnacentral:lncRNA from 1 species
CCAUGCAUGCCAGAGAAAAUGUGAGAGAAUGAGUGCAGAGGAGAGAUGGGUGAGUCAUUGCAGGCUAGAAAUGAGCAAGUCGAGACCGAUGAGAUUGAAUAUGUAGAAUGGAUAAGAGAAUUAGAAGUCAGGAGAGAGGAGAGAAGGAUUAGGGUGCACCCACUCAUGUUAAAGAGAUGGUGAGAUAACAAAGAGGAGAGGUAG